GGGGGACGUGUGGGAGUGUUUCGGGAACCUAGUCCUGCAAGAAAACGGCAGGGACCGCAAAGUGGAGAUGUUGCAAAGGAGGCCAUUCGUGUUUUCCAUCUGGGCCCAAGGUUGAACUUGGCCUCUGCCGACAGUGGUCAAGUUACAUUAACGGGUCAGAGACACUCCAGCUCCCGGGCCCCUUCUCAGCCGGGUCUGUGCCCACACCUGGUGCCAGCCCCACAUGACUCUAAGGGCCCAGAGCCACGCAGCCUCCAUCCCCCAGGGCUGUGCCAGCGAAACGAGCCAACGCGUUGUGCUUCCACAAAUGAUUCUUCCAGAGUUCCCAUCGUGGCACAGUGGUUAGCAAAUCCGACUAGGAACCAUGAGGUUGCGGGUUCGUUCCCUGGCCUCGCUCAGUGGGUUGGGGAUCCGGCGUUGCCAUGAGCCGUGGUGUAGGUCACAGACGCAGCUCAGAUCCCGUGUUGCUGUGGCUGUGGUGUAGGCCGGCGGCUACAGCUGAUUGGACCCCUAGCCUGGGAACCUCCAUAUGCUGCGGGAGCAGCUCAACAAAAGGCAAAAAGACAAAAAAAAAAAAAAUUAUUCUUCUGACAGAUUCUAAGCACAUGCAGGUCCUCGUCCCUUGGCUCCAGCGAUCACCGAAUCGCAGCCAGUCUGGUCCAGUCGUCCCCCUGCAUCUCCCUCGCUCAGCACCACUUCGCAGAGACCCCAAGCCUCAUCCAAUGUCGGGUCGUGUCUAAGAGAUGUGAACUUGGACAUGUAAAGGCAGACGUCCGUGGUCACAUGUCAGCUGUGGUUCCUCAGCAUCGAGAGCCUCUUCCCUCACGUUUCUCAUCAUCUCUUCAGCGUCAUCUUAUUUAUUCCAAGAUUGGUGUCUUCGAGCCGUGGAUCCAGGGAAGGGUCACGUGUUGCAUAUUCUGUCAAAUACGUGUUUAAUCCACACCCCCCCCUUCCCUACAGAUGGAUUCCCUGAAGAACCUGGGUUGUUUGCCCGUGGAGUUUGCCUCGAUUUUGACGGAGUCACGGUGGUUAACGUAUUUCUCUGCUAAACGGGGGGCGGACUCGGCCAGCGCUUGUGUUGAGCACACGGUGCUCAUCGCAUGGAAAUUCUCGGGGCUUCCCUCUCCGCCCGUUUCCCUGUGUCAGGCGAGGCCGGCCCCCGCACCCAGAGCCACAUGGAGGAGGAUACGGAGCCGGUGGCCGAGAGGAGCCCAGCCGCCCGUUGCCCCGAGUACCGGCUCAGAGCCACCACCUCGGCCCACCUCCUCGGCUGUAAACACCACCUUAGAAACACCUCGACUGCUGACGUGGUCGGAAAGGGUGCUUUUAAAACUGUGAAGACGGCGUGAAUUCCCUUCAGAGACGUUUUUAUCCUGGCAGGAAAACGCAGGGGUGAGGGUUUUGUUUUUCUGAAACCUCGUGUCUUGAAGCCUGUUCCGCACAAAUGCAGCACGUCCCAGCCCUGCCAGGUGCAAGCUGUUGGGGGAGCGUGGGGUGGGGUGUGGAGACCCCCCUGAAAUCCAAGACCGGUGGGAACUCAUUGUUUCCCGCCUUUGCCCUCGUCUUGAGAAGAGGCGGGCAAGCUCGUCGAGGGCCAGCGUGUGUUCGUGCAAACAGUGCGUCACCUGCAGGAGGGUGAGGGGUGCUCAGGAAUGCGCCGCAGAUGCAAACACCUCGGGGGUUUCACGCCUUGGGCGCUGCCACCCGGGUCAGGCGGCUGGACCCUUGGCCGCCGAGUCAGGCCGCGUGACGGGUGAGGCGCAGGCUGUAAAUGGCGCCCGUCUUCUUGUUUCGGGUCCUUGGAAAUGAUGGCUUUUCCUGAGAAGAACAGUUAUCAGAGAAAAAUGCUUGCUUGGAGUUCUGGAAAGGAAAGAAAGACAAGACAGUGAGUGCGACAGGGUGAAGAGGAGUUUGCACAGGAAAGGCUGGCCGUAUUUUGCCAAAACGAUGGCAUUUCUGUCAUCUGUGUCCAGCACACUUCACUUAUCUGGAAGACGCGGAGCCAUCAAAAAAAGUCGGGAAUUCCAAGCCAUGACCUGCCGAGGGCACAGAUGGUAACAUUUGGGAUGGUUUUAGUGUAAAAAAUGUGUUUAUAGAAUCUGCCUUAAAAUCUCCAGGCUGACAGUGAGCUUAAUAAAAAUAUCCAGCCGGAUUUUUAGCA
rnacentral:lncRNA from 1 species